GUGAGUGUAGUGUAGCGGAAACACGCCAGUUUGUGGAGCUGGAAUCGGGGGUUCGACUCCCCUCACCUACCCA
rnacentral:tRNA from 4 species